AAGAGAGAAAGAGAGAGAAAAGGAAAGUAACACAGCAAAAGGAAGUUAGGCGUGGCCAGAAGGAAGACUGGAAGGCAGGCUGGGGGUGCGAUGGCGCUGAAGGAGGGCACAGAUGGCUGGUCCGGGCCAGGGCGGCAGGAGGCCCAGGCAGUCGCUGCUGUCUGCAAGCAGCGGUUCUGUUUAUUUGUUCAGUGCGAUUCGAUACACAAACCUCAGUGAGUCUGUAAUAAUGGUAAGUUUUCCUCACGAUAUGGAAAAGGCCAGGAAACCUCCUGCUGUUCUGGCCUGCUCAGUUCCAGGGCUCCUCCCUGUGGAACAGAACCUUGGUCCCCACCUCGUCCCAGAUGGAUUGUGGGGAAGAUUUCUCCCUGACUCCCAGGCGGGCCAUGUGAUCAGGCCUGGCCAAUCAGGGCAUCAGAGCCUCCAACCCUCCCGGCAAAGAGUUCAGAAGCAGACGUGGGACCCCAGUCUAGCCAACCGCAGUGCCUGGCUCAGGCACACGUGUGUGACCUGCUGGACCAAAACAUGUUGAUCUUAAGGCUUUUGUAUUUUCUAAAUUACUCCUGCUGGGUUUACUAAGACAACAGGAUUAAGAAUGCAACUGCUCUCAGCCAGACAGCAGGUGAGGAAGAACCUUGACCGGGAAUGAAGCCCAAACCAGGAAGCACAGCCACCACGUGGAGGGAGAGACCAAAUGUUGCCACAGUAACCGCCCAUGUUUAUCGAGCGCUCUGUGGAGGCCUCUAUGACAAGCCACUGUGCCGCUGCAACCUCUUAGCGACACCACAAAGCAGGCAAGCACUCAGCGCGGCCGGAACCACAGCACAGCCACGGAAGCCACAGGACAGUGUUUAGGGAGAGGGGACAGUCCGCCUCAGAGGGUGCUCUGCUCCCUGUCCCCUCCGACAUUGCUCCCCCAUCAGCCAGCACCUCUUGGCGCCCUCCCUGGCCCUGGUGAGGGAUGGAGCCCGAGUGCCACUCUCUCAC